AUAGCUUGUCAUUCCUGGUUUUAAUUGUUAGAAAUACGAAUUAAAGAACAGAUAUAACUAAUAUAACUGAAACAAUUAAUAAAUACAAUUAUCGAACCACUCCAAUAGAACAACGUUAACGGUUUUGAGUGGUUUUUAGGAAAAUGUCUGACUGAAAUUAACGUAAUCCGUAUAAGGGCCAUUUUAACGUAACGUUACAGGGCGGGAAAGGUUUGAGGCAUUUAAUAACUCUAUUAAACUGGCUGGUUUAUCCACACCAGUGCGUAACAUGUAAAGUUAACGUUACAACGUGGCUUCGGGACUUUGCAGCGACCUGAAUAGCAUUGCAUUGAUAAACGUUAAUAAGCUUUUAAUCGCAUAUAGAACAUUAAUAUAAGACGAUGAUUCUGUAGAUCGACUAACUUGCAUGCAUUACAUAUUAACUUACCUUGACACUGAAACUGCCGUCAGCACUGUUGCUUCACCCGUUGGAACAUCCUACUAGUUUAGGGAGUUAAAAAUCGAGUUGGAAAAGAACAAAAAAUCGUUCUACACGAGACCCAGAAGCUGCAAAAACCGAUUGAGGUUACACUCUAUUGAAUGAUCGCAACGUUGGGUGCAGGCAGCCCACACAUCUCUCAGAUGUGUUUGACUUCAUGCUGAUCUACGCGCAAACUGAUCGUGACAUCAAGUACCGCGAGUUCAAACCUUUUCCGGGGCUUUCCCAAACUCUCGCGGUACUUGAUGUCAUACCACGUGCUGUCUGCGCAUCUCGGUGUUAAGUCAAACACACCUGAAUGUAUUUGUUGGCUGCACUCCCUUGCGCUCAGUGAUUUAGGUGUAACGAAAUAAAUGUAUUAAAUUGAUAUUAUAUAAAUAAAUAUUGUUAUAAAAAAUCUUUAUAAAAUGAUUAGCUGUCAUUAAUAAAUUAAUAUUUGAUUUGAAACAUCAGUAUACGUAAAUUUCCCUCAAGUUAUGAAAUGCCUAAAUAAGAUCAAAAUGGUGAAAAUACAACAAUGUAUAUUUGACCAAUUUAGCAUUUAUUAACUUUUGCCUUUUUAAAUUGACUUCAGAAAGUUAUCUACAGCCACACAUCCACUGUAUACCAAGUUAUGAUGAUCAAUUAUGAGAAUGCAAAAGGAUUUAUAGAUCAGUAAACAAUCAACAAAAAGCUUUACAAAAAAUGUAGAAUUUGUAGGAGCAUGGACAACUGAGUAACAAAGUCAUAUUAUGCAGAUGGGUGCUCAUGGUGGCCUCCAAAUAAAUACAUGGACAGGCUGCUAAAGAGGGUCAGGAUGAUGGAGAUGCAAGAGCCAAAGACAGCACGGACCAAACACCAGGCCAGAAUUCUGCAUGAGUCAGUUUCCAGCCUUUUUCACAAAGUUGCCGACAACUGGAAGAAUGUCCCAAAUUGCUGAAAAAAAAAAUUCAGUAAGUCCUUAUAAAAGAGACAGUUUAAAAGAUUGAGUAAUUUUCACUCUAGAGACCCUGGGGUGACCACCAAGGACGAAUGAAAAGUAAGUGACCUACAAAACAAAAAACAUUAAUAUUUUACGACUGUUUCAAGAUAAGUACUCUGCAUAUCUAUAGCAAUGGACUCUAUGCACGGCAGCGCUUGACGUGUUUCCGGUGAUAUCUCAGGAUGCUGGACUACUUCCGCCAGUCAUAGAGCGCUAUGUUAUUUUGGCUGUUUGGUUG